ensembl:lncRNA
CGGUAUUCAGUCAGUAUAAUUCAGUAUUCAGUCAGUAUAAUUCAGUAUUCAGUCAGUAUAAUCGGUAUUCAGUCAGUAUAAUUCAGUAUUCAGUCAGUAUAAUCAGUAUUCAGUCAGUAUAAUCCAGUAUUCAGUCAGUAAUAAUCAGUAUUCAGUCAGUAUAAUCGGUAUUCAGUCCAGUAUAAUCAGUAUUCAGUCAGUAUAAUCAGUAUUCAGUCAGUAUAAUUCAGUAUUCAGUCAGUAUAAUCAGUAUUCAGUCAGUAUAAUCAGUAUUCAGUCAGUAUAAUCGGUAUUCAGUCAGUAUAAUCGGUAUUCAGUCA